rnacentral:rRNA from 1 species
GACGAACGCUGGCGGCGUGCUUAACACAUGCAAGUCGAGCGGUAAGGCUCCUUCGGGAGUACACGAGCGGCGAACGGGUGAGUAACACGUGAGCAAUCUGCCCUUCACUUCGGGAUAACUCCGGGAAACCGGUGCUAAUACCGAAUACGACCACUUCAGGCAUCUGAUGGUGGUGGAAAGUUCCGGCGGUGAAGGAUGAGCUCGCGGCCUAUCAGCUUGUUGGUGGGGUAANGGCCCACCAAGGCAACGACGGGUAGCCGGCCUGAGAGGGUGACCGGCCACACUGGGACUGAGACACGGCCCAGACUCCUACGGGAGGCAGCAGUGGGGAAUAUUGGACAAUGGGCAAAGCCUGAUCCAGCAACGCCGCGUGAGGGAUGACGGCCU